GCAGUUAAAGUAAAUAUUAUGUGCUCUCCAUCCAUUGAUCUUAGCUACUUCUGUCCUUAGAAGUACACAACCACUUACAUCCACACAUUCUCCAUGUGCUACUUCUGUUCCAAGAAGUACCACCCACAUAUACGCACUACACUCUGUGUUGUUUCUAUCCUGGAGACAUGCACUUAUCCUGCUCCUACCCUGGGAGUACGCAUUCAUUCACCCAUUCACAUUCCUCAUCCACUUAGAAAAUGUUCUACUCC
rnacentral:lncRNA from 1 species